rnacentral:rRNA from 1 species
UACGUAGGGGGCCAGCGUUGCUCGGAAUUACUGGGCGUAAAGGGUCCGUAGGCGGUGUGGCAAGUCGGAAGUGAAAUCUCUGGGCUUAACCCAGAGGCUGCUUUCGAAACUGCCGUGCUAGAGUGUGAGAGAGGCGAGUGGAAUUACGGGUGUAGCGGUGAAAUGCGUAGAUAUCCGUAGGAACAUCCGAGGCGAAAGCGGCUCGCUGGAUCACAACUGACGCUGAGGGACGAAAGCUAGGGGAGCAAACAGG